CAACAUAUGGUUCUAUCCUAAAAGAUAAAAAAGGAUGCUGCAUGGGAUACACAGAUUUUGGCUGACACUGUCACAGAGCAGCUUAAUGACUCCCACAGUACGAUGUACUAGGCUUAUAUUGAGCCUAGUUGAAAGCUUAUCAGAGGUGAACGUUGGUGGUGUGGCGGCUGAACUUUCCCACCAAUAUUCCAUUACAUUCUGUUGCUGUGUGACAGAUGGCAUCAGAGGAGCAGUCUGAAAAAAAUGGCAUCUAACAUGGAAGUGCAUAUGUAGCAAAG
rnacentral:lncRNA from 1 species